CUGCACGUCGGCAUCGCUGAGCGCCAUGGCGGCGGCGGUGGCGGCGGCGGUGGCGGUGGCAGCGGCGGCGGCGGUCGCAGCCCCC
rnacentral:miRNA from 12 species